AUACGGAGGAUGCGAGCGUUAUCCGGAUUUAUUGGGUUUAAAGGGUGCGUAGGCUGUGCGUUAAGUCAGGGGUGAAAUGCCGUCGCUCAACGACGGAGCUGCCCUUGAUACUGGCGUGCUGGAGUACGGAUGCCGUUGGAGGAAUGAGUGGUGUAGCGGUGAAAUGCUUAGAUAUCGCGCAGAACCCCGAUUGCGAAGGCAGCUGUCCAGCACGCGACUGACGCUCAUGCACGAAAGCGUGGGUAUCGAACAGGAUUAGAUACCCUGGUAGUCCACGCGGUAAACGAUGAUAACUGGCUGUCCGGGGAGAAUGAUUUCUGGGCGGCUGAGCGAAAGCGUUAAGUUAUCCACCUGGGGAGUACGCCGGCAACGGUGAAACUCAAAUGAAUUGACGGGG
rnacentral:rRNA from 1 species